GACGAACGCUGGCGGCGUGCCUAAUACAUGCAAGUCGACCUUAGUGGCGAACGGGUGAGUAACACGUGGGUAACCUGCCCAUCAGAAGGGGAUAACACUUGGAAACAGGUGCUAAUACCGUAUACUGAUGGAUGGACCCGCGGUGCAUUGGCUAGUUGGGGAGGUAACGGCUCACCAAGGCCACGAGGCAUAGCGGACUGGGGAGGGGGAUCGGCCACAUGGGGACUGAGACACGGCCAAAACUCCUACGGGAGGCAGCAUGAGGGAAUCGUCGGCAAUGGACGAAAGUCUGACCGAGCAACGCCGCGUGAGUGAAGAAGGUUUUCGGAUCGUAAAACUCUGUUGUUAGAGAAGCGGUAUCUAACCAGAAAGCCACGGCUAACUACGUGCCAGCAGCCGCGGUAAUAC
rnacentral:rRNA from 1 species